GACAUAGGAAUUGCUUUUACACGCCUCACACGCAGGCCGAGUUUUCGUGGGUAUGCUCUCUUUUCUCCUGCAAGCAGGACUGCACGUGGUUUUUACUUUUUGGGAGUGGGCUCAGGUGGGUCUGCUACAAUGUUUACAUGAAAUCCACGAAGGUAAAUCAUCUCAUGUUAGGACGGCUUAAAAAUCAGCCCAUUUCAUUACUCAUGUGGACCACAAAAUUGGAAACAGUGUACCGCUCCAAUUAGGCAUUUGAGGGAAUUCGGCCAACCUAAGGACAAGUUUAGCUAGCCGAAGCGUCGGUUGGCUAGUCCGAGCUCUGGUUUAGCUAGCCUAAGGUUACGCAAAUUGUGCACGGACUGCGUAAAUUUGAGGCGGGUUUCGUAUUAUUCUAACUCAGUGCAAAAGUUGGAGUUCCACAAUUAUAAAUAAGAGUUCCUAGGAUGCAACAAGAGAGAUUCUAGGGAAUUCUACGACUUCCUAAACUAUUCCAAAGGGUUUUUAAAUAAUUUUAGGGUUUCAAAGGAUGUAGCAAGGGUGAGAUUUUGUGAUUGCUAAAAUCGGGUAAGUCUUUUUCUCUUUGUAAUUUCUUCUUUCAUAGUGGAUUUCUGUCGCUUUGUGUCAUUGUUUUUUCUCGAAA